AUUGAACGCUGGCGGCAGGCCUAACACAUGCAAGUCGAACGAGUGCCGGACGGGGGAGUAAUGUCUGGGAAACUGCCUGAUGGAGGGGGAGAACUACUGGAAACGGUAACUAAUACCGCAUACCAUCGGAUGUGCCCAGAGGGGAUUAGGUAGUAGGUGGGGUAAAGGCGAACCUAGGCGACGAUCCCUAGCUGGUCGGCGAGGAUGACCAGCAACACUGGAACGGAGACACGGUCCAGACUCCGACGGGAGGCAGCAGUGGGGAAUAUUGCACAAUGGGCGCAAGCCUGAUGCAGCCAUGCCGCGUGUAUGAGGAGGGCCUUCGGGUUGUAAAGUACUUUCAGCGGGGAGUCGUUACCCGCAGACGAAGCACCGGCUAACUCCGUGCCAGCAGCCGCGGUAAUUC
rnacentral:rRNA from 1 species